rnacentral:rRNA from 1 species
CCUACGGGUGGCAGCAGUGAGGAAUAUUGGUCAAUGGGCGAGAGCCUGAACCAGCCAAGUCGCGUGAGGGAAGACGGUCCUAUGGAUUGUAAACCUCUUUUGCCGGGGAGCAAAAAGCGGUACGUGUACCGCAUCGAGAGUACCCGGAGAAAAAGCAUCGGCUAACUCCGUGCCAGCAGCCGCGGUAAUACGGAGGAUGCGAGCGUUAUCCGGAUUUAUUGGGUUUAAAGGGUGCGCAGGCGGCGAGUUAAGUCAGCGGUAAAAUCGUGGAGCUCAACUCCAUCCAGCCGUUGAAACUGAUGAUCUUGAGUGGGCGAGAAGUAUGCGGAAUGCGUGGUGUAGCGGUGAAAUGCAUAGAUAUCACGCAGAACUCCGAUUGCGAAGGCAGCAUACCGGCGCCCGACUGACGCUGAAGCACGAAAGCGUGGGUAUCGAACAGGAUUAGAUACCCGAGUAGUC